GCAUUUCUUACUUGUGAAGUAAGUGGCUGAUCUCACAAGUUAAAGUGUGGUGACACUUAAAUGAACACGUAGAUGUUUGUUAUAGAACAAAACAUUGGAGACCCGUCGAGAGAUUCCACAUGGAUAACUAUCUGAGUGUCGGUGGUUAAUUUCUAACGUUCGGUAGUGAAAUUGGUCCUUUGACUUGAGGUCGUCAUGGUACCUUAUAUGAGGACAGUCAUACUUUGGCGGUGUUGGAUGUUGCUCUGAAAAGGGCCGCUAAUACGACAUCGUUCGGGUACGUCAAGAAUCGUAUGAAGGUUGUGAUUGAUCAAUAAAGGAUUCGUCACUCUUAGAUAGUAGGAGAUUAUGAUCUGCGUUUCAUUCAAUUAAGUCAAUGAUGAAAUCCUUGGCCAAGGUGUACUCAUAAAUCGAAAAGGAGUUUUCGAUUUAUAUUGACUUAAUAGUGGAGUGAAAGAUAUGAUCGAUGAUCGAGAUUGACACAAUUCCAUAUCUCGUAAUUGAUCGGAUCAUAUAGACGAAAGGAUUAUAGUUUCACGGUAAACGAACGAAUUUGGUUUUGUCAUACCACGUAACAUUUCCCCUCACAUGUAUUGCC
rnacentral:lncRNA from 1 species